rnacentral:rRNA from 1 species
GUUAUCAUGCAAGUCGAGCGGGUUAUAUAUUUAAACUUCAUGGUGAUGGUAUGGACUUUAUUCCGGUUAAUUCUGGUCUCUUGCCCUCGCCAUCAUCAUGGGUUUAAAAUGUGUGAUCAGCGGCAGACGGGUGAGGAACACGUUGGAAUCUGCCCCAAAGUGAGGGAUAAUCUGCCGAAAGGCGGACUAAUACCGCAUGUGCCCGCAAGGGUAAAGCUUUAUGCGCUUUGGGAGGAGCCUGCGUAAUAUCAGCUAGUUGGUGAGGUAAUGGCUCACCAAGGCUAUGACGUUUAGCUGGUCUGAGAGGAUGGCCAGCCACAAGGGAACUGAGACACGGUCCCUACUCCUACGGGAGGCAGCAGUAAAGAAUAUUCCGCAAUGGGCGAAAGCCUGACGGAGCGACACCGCGUGGAGGAUGAAGGCCUUAGGGUCGUAAACUCCUUUUCUGAGGGAAGAAGUUCUGACGGUACCUCAGGAAUAAGCAUCGGCAAACUAUGUGCCAGCAGCCGCGGUAAUACAUAGGAUGCAAGCGUUAUCCGGAAUUACUGGGCGUAAAGGGUUCGUAGGCGGUUUUUUAAGUAAGGGGUGAAAUCUUCGGGCUCAACCCGAAAACUGCUUCUUAAACUGGAAAACUUGAGGGAGGGAGAGGCUGACGGAAUUCUGCAAGUAGGGGUAAAAUCCGUUGAUCUGCAGAGGAACAUCAAAAGCGAAGGCAGUCAGCUGGACCUCUUCUGACGCUGAGGAACGAAAGCGUGGGUAGCGAACGGGAUUAGAUACCCCGGUAGUCCACGCCCUAAACGAUGGAUACUCGACGUUGACAUUUAUGUCAGUGUCUUAGCUAACGCAAUAAGUAUCCCGCCUGGGAAGUACGAUCGCAAGAUUAAAACUCAAAGGAAUAGACGGGGACCCACACAAGCGGUGGAGCAUGUGGUUUAAUUCGACAAUAAGCGAGGAACCUUACCAGGACUUGACAUCCCGGAAAUCUUGCAGAAAUGUGAGAGUGCCUUUAUCGGUAUCCGGAGACAGGUGCUGCAUGGUUGUCGUCAGCUCGUGCCUUGAGGUGUUCGGUUAAGUCCGUAAACGAGCGCAACCCUAGUCCUAUGUUGUAAUUUCAUAGGAGACUGCCUUGUCCAACGAGGAGGAAGGUUAGGAUGACGUCAAAUCAGCAUGGCCCUUAUGUUCUGGGCGACACACGUGCUACAAUGGUCGGUACAACGGGCAGCCAAGUCGUAAGACGGAGCAAAUCCCUAAAAACCGAUCCAAGUUCGAAUUGAGGGCUGCAACUCGCCCUCAUGAAGUCGGAAUCGCUAGUAAUCGCGCAUCAGCCAUGGCGCGGUGAAUAUGUUCCUGGGUCUUGUACUCACCGCCCGUCACACUAUGAGAGGUAGGGGCACCCGAAGUUCCCGCAAGGGGCCUAAGGUGAAACUACUGAUUGGAGGAAGUCUAACAAGUUC